UAAGAUACCCCACUAUGCUUUGCCCUAAACAUUGAUAGUUUUAUACAACCACUAUCCGCCUGGGAACUACGAGCAGUAGCUUAAAACCCAAAGGACUUGGCGGUGCUUUAGACCCACCUAGAGGAGCCUGUUCUAAAACCGAUAACCCCCGUUCAACCUCACCUUUCCUUGUUCUCCCCGCCUAUAUACCGCCGUCGUCAGCUUACCCUAUGAAGGCCCCUUAGUAAGCACAAUUGGUACAGCCCAAAACGUCAGGUCGAGGUGUAGCGUAUGGAAAGGGAAGAAAUGGGCUACAUUCCCUGUUACAGUGAAUCUUACGAAUAAUACCACUGAAACGUGUAUCUAGAAGGAGGAUUUAGCAGUAAGCAGAAAGUAGAGCGUUCUGCUGAAACCGGCCCUGAAGCGCGCACACACCGCCC
rnacentral:rRNA from 1 species